AUGAUAUUCAUAGUUAUCUUUAUUUCAGUCAGUAAAAGUGACCUAAAUUUCAAAAAUUUUUCUGAAAUGCAAGUGGAAACAAUUGAGCCUCUAUUGGAAAAGGAUUCCAGCAAAAUGAAGUGUGUGAAACAGGACUGUCAACACCUUAAUUUUAGCCUGAUAUUCAAGAAAAUUACCCUGUAUUUUAGAUCAUAUUUGGUCGGAACAGCAACACAACGUUCCUGUGCUCAGACAAUGUCGUUAGGACACCUGCUUCAGCGCCUGCUGCUCAUAACCAUCAGGAACUAUGUGAGGAAAGAAAAAUCCACUCUUCCUGUUUCCCUUCCUGAUAGAACUCAAAAAUGUGACAUAUAUGUCACCAACUAUAUGCAGUUGUUCAAGAUAUGUAUGCAGAAUAGUCAAAGAAGAGAUGUGGUGAAGUGUGAUGGAGGAACCUUUUGA
rnacentral:lncRNA from 1 species